GUAGGUGAACCUGCGGAAGGAUCAUCACUGAUUCGGGGUGGGUGUGGGAGACUGCACGCGCCCCAACCAAUCUUGUGUGAAUUGUAACUCGAGGUGUGGAGUUGUUGGUAGGGGGAGGCUGUCUACAGCGCCUACCAACAGCACGCUCCAACAUUAUUAUCUCCUGAUUAACAUUGGUCUAAACACAACACAAUACAAAUAUAACACAACUUUUAACAAUGGAUCUCUUGGCUCUC
rnacentral:misc_RNA from 1 species